rnacentral:rRNA from 1 species
GACGAACGCUGGCGGCGUGCCUAACACAUGCAAGUCGAGCGGGGUUGAAGCGAGAGGUAACUCGAACUUCUACCUAGCGGCGGACGGGUGAGUAACGCGUGGGCAACCUGCCUCAAGGUCUGGGAUAACAGCCCGAAAGGGCUGCUAAUACCGGGUAUGCUUGUGGCCUCGCAUGGGGCUACGAGCAAAGGGGAAACCCGCCUUGAGAUGGGCCCGCGUCCCAUCAGCUAGUUGGUGAGGUAACAGCUCACCAAGGCGACGACGGGUAGCCGGCCUGAGAGGGUGACCGGCCACACUGGGACUGAGACACGGCCCAGACUCCUACGGGGGGCAGCAGUGGGGGAUCUUGCACAAUGGGCGAAAGCCUGAUGCAGCGACGCCGCGUGAGCGAAGAAGGCCUCGGUUGUAAGCUCUGUCUGGAGGAACGAAGGAAGUAGACGGUACCUCCGGAGGAAGCCACGGCUAACUAACGUGCCAGCAGCCGCGGUAAAACGUAAGCGUG